GGAAAUUUUUGAACGUGUAAGCAAGUUAAUCCAAUUUAAAAAUCCAUUAUAAAUUCGUCCAGCAGCGUCCUGCAUCCUUCAUCAAAUGCUAGUUGUGCAAUGCCAUUUCUUUCCUUCUCAAGAAACCUGAAAAUUAGUCAAAAACGCUCGACUCCAGGGCAGCCUUCUUUGCUUUGAAGCUUCAAAUUAAUAUCAUUAUUGCGUUUACAGCAAAGGAACAAUGGACGAAAGUAGAGUUACCCAUAUAUCAAUUCAGCUUUGCCAAAAGCUUCUUAACCCUUCUGCUGUUCAUGGGCACUCCCAGUUUAGUAUUUUCAGAGUACCUAAUCAGCUACGAAAAGUCUAUGAAAAGGCUUAUGAGCCGCAAAUAGUUUCAAUUGGCCCUUACCAUCGCGGUAAAGCUCACCUUCAGGGGAUGGAGAAGUACAAAAUGCACCUUCUAAGACAACUCCUAAAAAGAAUAAUAAGAAGAAGAGGAGGAGAAGGAGGAGAAAACGAAAUUCAAGAGGAAGUGCGAAAAUUUGUCGUGGCCAUAGGGGCAUUGGAAGAAAGUGCUCGUCAAUGCUAUGACCAACCAAUUUGUCUUCACUCGGAGGAGUUUGUGCAAAUGAUGAUUGUUGAUGGCUGCUUCAUUAUUGAGCUAAUUCGCAGUUUUGUGGAUGUGGAUAAUCGGAGACAGGAAGAUGACCCUAGCUUUGUACUAAAACUCGACUUGUACAUCACAAGCCGGGAUUUUUUACUACUCGAAAACCAACUUCCUUUGUUUGUUAUGUUGGAGUUGUUUAAUCUGAUGAAGAUACCAAGUCAACAGAAUUGUGACUUGAUAUGCAUGAUCACCACUUACCUGAAAUAUCAAAAUCUAUUAAUUGGGUUUCCAGUUAUUCAGGGCAUCUCUUCCCCAGAAUGCAAACAUCUAUUGGACUUGAUACACCAUUAUUGGCUUCCUUCCAGCAUAUUGAGGGGGAGAAUUCUGGGGCAAAGGGAUGAAUUAAAAGUCAUAAGAUGUGCCACAGAGCUCAUAGAAGCUGGAAUCAAGUUUAAAAAGGUGGAUGCUCAUCCAGAGGGAAGGGGACCUAGCAUGUUUGAUAUAAGGUUUAAAAAUGGAAGGCUAGAAAUCCCAACCCUAAUCAUUGAAGAUGAAACAGAGUCUUUCCUGCACAAUAUCAUUGCAUAUGAGCAGUUGCCUCUUGCAAAUGAUAUAUGUUAUGCCACCGAUUACAUGAUAUUGAUGGAUUGCCUGAUCGACUCCCGGAGGGAUGUGCAAUUACUUUGUAGAUGUGGAAUUAUUGACAACCGGCUAGGUGACGAUGAGGUGAUUGCUACCUUGUUCAAUAGGCUUGGAGAUUAUGUAAUCCCAUCCUCUUGUCACUUCUUUUACUCUGAAUUAUUCAGCCAAGUGAACAAGCAUUGCAGCAAGAAAAAAAAUAAGUGGAUGGCUAAGCUGAGGCAUGACUAUUUCAACAGCCCAUGGGCAGUGGUCUCUUUCUGGGCUGCGGUUGCACUUCUGUUUUUUACUUUCUUACAAACCAUAUACACUGUUCUAGCAUUUUACAAAUAACUACUCAAAGCCAAUCAGAGGUAUCAUGUAGGGAGUAGGAAGUCUAAGGUUAAGUCUUUUUAUCUAUAUAUUUUAAGAUUAUUAAAAAAAAAAGUGUCUCUUGCUAUGUAGCUCAUUAGUUAUUAAUUAAUCCAUUAUGCUU
rnacentral:misc_RNA from 1 species